UACGUAGGGGGCUAGCGUUGUUCGGAUUUACUGGGCGUAAAGCGCACGUAGGCGGAUCGUUACGUCAGAGGUGAAAUCCUGGAGCUCAACUCCAGAACUGCCUUUGAUACUGAGAAUCUUGAGUAUGGGAGAGGUGAGUGGAACUGCGAGUGUAGAGGUGAAAUUCGUAGAUAUUCGCAAGAACACCAGUGGCGAAGGCGGCUCACUGGCCCAUAACUGACGCUGAGGCACGAAAGCGUGGGGAGCAAACAGG
rnacentral:rRNA from 1 species